rnacentral:lncRNA from 1 species
UUUUUUUUUUUUAAAAGAUUUAUUUAUUUUAUAUGAGUACACUGUUGUUCUCUUCAGACACACCAGAAGAGGGCAUUGGAUCCCAAUUACAGAUGGGUGUGAGCCACCAUGUGGUUGCUGGGAAUUGAACUCAGAACCCCUGGAAGAACAGUCAGUGCUCUUAACUGCUGAGCCAUCUCUCUAGCCCUGAGUUUGUAUUUUUUAAUAGAGAAAAUCAAAGUUGAUCAGGGUAUGGUAUGCAUGGAUUAUAAGGUACAAUUUAAGAAUGGCCAAGCCUUGGCUAGGAACUUCAAAGGACUUCAGGAAAACUAGAUUAACUUUUGUUGGAAGAUACUCAAUUAUACUAAAGAAGAAAAUACAGAAUUAAGAUGUUUACAAUACAACCUUCAUAAUGUGCCAAGCUUUCUACCAAGGAAGAAUGUAUUUAUAUCCACAAAAUUGAUUUUUCUUAUUCAGAAAUAUAAAAGUACCGACCAACAUAAGACUAUUUAAAAUAGUGUAGCAAGGACUUGGAGUCCUCACACUAACACUAUCUUUGUGCAUUUUAAUUUUCUACCUGUAAAGUAGGAAUGAAACCAUGCUAGGCUGUAUGAGCAUCAAUGACAGGAGCAGACACUGCAUUGCCAGCAGACACCGUGAAGGACACUGUUGUUUGCCAGUCCAUCUACUGUACUGCCAGCAGGUCCCUGGUCACACUGAGUGCUGCGUGUCAGAGAGUGCUGGAGGGUUACAGCUGACACAUUUCUUUCCUCACACUAGGGAGGAAAGAGUCUUUUCUUUUUCUCCCUGUAAACAUUAUCUUAAAGAAGACAAUGGGGCUCUGAGCUACUGUGGCUCCUCUGAUGGUGAGAAGAAGAAAGGCGAGAUUUAGAUGAUCCCAGUGACAAUGACCGCAUCUCAGUGACAGUGCUCAGUGAUGCACUAACCCACUGGAUUAGCUUGGUCUUCACUGUGGAGACUGAAAACCUCCCUCGAGUCUGCUACGGCUCCUGGGAGGAAUCCAGCUGCCGGUGUCCUGAGAGGAACACGUCCCACGGCAUGCCAGCUGCUGCUGUCCUUAGCCAGCGCAUUCUCUUCAUCUGAGAUGUAGCACUUGAAACCAACCUUCAAAUGCUUCUAUGCACUGUUAUGGCUUACUUUUUUUUUUUUUUUUUAGUAUUUAUUAUAAAUAUAACAUAUUGUGAGAAAUAUAAAGGAGACAACAAAAAGAAAAAGCUAUGAAUUAUUCAGAGUGAAUUACAACUGACCACGACAUUCAAAGCAGUGAUGACGCUCAGCACUGACAGAAAGGAUGGCUGGCCUGCGGCGGCCGACCAGGAGAGGGAGUGGGGGAGGCACGCACGCGCACGCGCACGCGCACGCGCGGGCCCUGAUAGGCGGGAGCAGAGCCCAGGAGACUUACUUGCUUCCGUAUUUUGCACUACUCGAUCUUUUCUUUCUGUAUUUCUCAUGAGGUUCAUCGAGCUUCUCUAUGGUGCUUUUGAUUUGCUGAAUUGUCUUAAAGGUUGCAACAGAAUCCUCAAUGGUGAACUUAGAAUAACCAGGUUCUUUCUGUGGCCCCUGAUACACAGCUAUAGACCCACAGGUCUCUGUAAGGAACAGUGAAAUCUCUGAUCAGAAAACUAAAUUCCACAAGUGUAAUCUGUAGUGUAAUUUAAAAAACUUUGAAGUUUUUAAGUGAGUUUCUUUGACAAGAGCACAGGUGACUGUAUUAUAACAAUUUACUGAACAAUCACAUUUACAAAGAAUAAUUAUUUAAUUUCAUGAAUAGAUAAAGAUUAAUGCCUCCUUUGAGGGUUUGUAAACUUCACUAUCAGUAACAGGAAAUCUAUAAAUAUUUUUAACUUUUUAAAAAGUCAAAGAAAUAACCUAGAAAUUAAUAAUGAAAACUAAUGGUUUCAUUUUGUUUACCUUCCAUUUUCUGCAGCUUAAGUAAACUGAGGGUAAAAAUAGAAUAAAUUCUUUCUGUUUCUCUGUCUUCAUCGAUAUCUAUCUGGAUGUCUGCAGGGAUGCCUCUAUG